CUGUGGGUUUGAUCCCAUAUAGAAGCGGGGUAGUGGAUUGGAUUACGGUUUGGGGCGUUCAGAUUGCAGAGACUGCAUCAGCAAACCGAAGGAAGUUGUUAAUAUAAAGGAGGAGGGAUGUUUCGCAGUUGUGAAACGAGAAGGGAUGUUCCUAAUUCGUCUUUGAGGGGUUCCAUUAUAAUCCAAACCAAUCAUUUCAACACUGGGGGGACAAACUACUCCUUUUCCACGAGGCGGUAAGGGGCGUGAGACACAGUGCUAGACACAUGCAAAGCCCGGUACUGUUAAUGAUACACGCCUUACGCUUGAGGCCCCUUGUGACGGCAGUAGAGUAGCAAUACUGGUGGUGGUCAUGGAAUGUUGGUGGGGGAAGGAAGGGCCAAAGGUCCCCCGCAAGUGUUCGUUCCCCGACAAAGGGAGACGAAGUAUGAGUCACUAGGUUGUAUUCUCGGCCAGCAGAAUUUUAGGUUUCUUAUUAAGCAUUUUUAGUCAGUGUUAAGUUUUUGGCAUUUUCCUUCUAUUUUCGUUUAGUCUUAGUGUCACCUUCGGGGAAUGCGUGCCGGGUCAUCCCUCGGGUUUUCGUUAACCAAGAGCGAAGAAAACAGAAAAUAUUUUAGAACAAAAUAGAAUGCUUAAUUAAGAGAGAAAAGUUUAUAAAAUUUUAUAAUGUCAAGUAUUCGGGAGACCGAAGUGUUACCGAAGGGGAAAUUAGGUAACGCGGGGGGGGUGGCGUAGGGGAGUGGGGUGGCGAGAAAUCCGGCGUAACGCGGGUCCAGGGGUGGAUGUGUGGACUCGGGCCUCGCCUGAACUUUCAUCCCCAUACGUCACAUCACGGGUCUGUAUACUCAAGACGCAUCAUCGCCUGACAACGACGUCGGGUAACGAUACCUGAGGCCAGACCGUUGCGUUUUCAUUUCGCAACUUGUCUGCAGUUAGACUUGGUGCCGGGGGGUGUAUGGUGGGGAAGACGUCCACAGCUCAAGUAAGCGUCUUGUACAAUCAUCGAAAGGAGGUGGCAUCGCGCAUUGUAUCGCUCAUGUACCCGCCUGCCCUAAGGGCUAGCGGCUUUGGCACGGACAGUCCAUUUUUGGCUGGAAGAAUGAACUUGCACGGUCGGAACAUUAUUUAUUCUUAACUUUCAGGACCACGAACAUUUUUUUAUUCCGAAUUCGGAAUAUAUUCCGCAAAAAAAUAACGCUGCUGCCCUUAUCGGACCCUGCUGACGUUCGGUCUGCCUGCCACCGUCGCGAGUCCCGCGCUGCAGCCGCCCACAACAGACUUGUCCCGUCGGCACCAGAGCCACAGACAGAACUUCUCAUCAUUGUUUUUGUUACCCUUUUGUCAACCCAAUUAUGCACAAACACGCGCGCGUCGGCCUGGUAGCUCCAAACGCUAUGGUCAUAUUUUAUC
rnacentral:lncRNA from 1 species